rnacentral:rRNA from 1 species
UCUUAGUGGCGAACGGGUGAGUAACGCGUGGGCAACCUGCCCUCCAGUUGGGGACAACAUUCCGAAAGGGAUGCUAAUACCGAAUGUGCUCCCUCCUCCGCAUGGAGGAGGGAGGAAAGAUGGCCUCUGCUUGCAAGCUAUCGCUGGAAGAUGGGCCCGCGUCUGAUUAGCUAGUUGGUGGGGUAACGGCUCACCAAGGCGAUGAUCAGUAGCCGGUCUGAGAGGAUGAACGGCCACAUUGGGACUGAGACACGGCCCAAACUCCUACGGGAGGCAGCAGUGGGGAAUCUUCCGCAAUGGACGAAAGUCUGACGGAGCAACGCCGCGUGAGUGAUGAAGGUCUUCGGAUUGUAAAACUCUGUUGUUAGGGACGAAAGCACCGUGUUCGAACAGGUCAUGGUGUUGACGGUACCUAACGAGGAAGCCACGGCUAACUACGUGCCAGCAGCCGCGGUAAUACGUAGGUGGCAAGCGUUGUCCGGAAUUAUUGGGCGUAAAGAGCAUGUAGGCGGGCUUUUAAGUCUGACGUGAAAAUGCGGGGCUUAACCCCGUAUGGCGUUGGAUACUGGAAGUCU